CUCGUUUUAGUUGGUUUAAGACUAGUUUUGAUUGGAUUUAGACUAGUUUUGACUGGUUUUAGACUAGUUUUAGAAUAGUUUUGACUGGUUUUAGACUAGUUUUCCAAAACUGAACUGUCUGGCACAUUGAGGAUUUCAAGAAUAAGUCGGAACUCCUUCUGUCUUUUUUCAAAAUAUUCAAAAUUUGGUGUUAAAACAAAGAGAAAAAAGAUUCUACAAUUUUUUUAGUUUUGAAUUGAUCAUAAAUUAUGAUAAAUGGUGUCUAACAUUUAUUUCAAACCUGAUCUCAGUCCAGGACUCACAGCAGCUUUCAAACUUCAGUGAAUUUACACCAGAAAAGCAUCAUUUUAAAAAGCAUCAGUGGUGGUUAAACAUCACAGUUAAACCCAACUUUCUUUGCGUUCACAUGAAGAUUUCCUGUCGUUAUGAACAGCGUUUCAGUUUAUUGUUGUGUUAAAACUCUGUGCUAACGGAAACACUCCCUGGAAACAGGGACAACAGGACAAACAUCUGUUUCUGAAGCUGAGCAGUUAAACUUUUGAUUCUCAUUGAAACAGUCCCAUAUUUUCCUGCUAAUUUCCUUGAAACCUUCCUGAAAGUUUCCAGAAACUUAGCUGUAAAUGACAUCUUACUGUGGUGCUAAUCAGAGACGCUCCAGUAAGUAGUUUAUGAUUCAUAUUUACUGAUCAAGAACCGACAUCUUUAGCUGUUCUAGGAAACUCUGAUGUCUGUUGGAGUUUAGCACCAAACUGAGUCGGUUCAUAUUUCUUCUUUUAGGGCUGAACAGCAGCUCGCUUUCAGGAAGUUAUGAGGAACGUUUCCAGAAAUGUGGCUGUAAAAUAAACCAGACAUCUUCACAAUGAUGGAAAAGCUGCUAGCUAAAACCAGACCAGCUGAGCACUCAACCUCCCACAAUGCUUCACUCUAUAGUGCCUGUACUUAAAGUUAGCAGUAAAACUUGUUACCUGUACAAUGUCGUACUGUACGUGUGCAUGAGUGUGAAUGUCAGCGAGAACGACCAUUUUCUUUGCUUCUCAACACACUAGCAACUGAUUUGGGCAACUUUAAUGGUCAACACUGUCUUCAGUUUGAUUCUAUAUCCGACAGACUGCAGUCCCUUAGAGUCCCCAGAUAAUCCAUGUUAACCUUUGAUAGUGCAUUAGGAGGUAAUAGUGCUUUAGAACUGACGCUGUCAUUUUUACUGUAUUUGUUUAGUACUACAGCUCAUUAGCCGCAGAUCAAAUCUGAAGUUUGAACAAAUACUGAAUAUCAGCACUUAAAAUUAAAUACCAGCGACAUGUUAAAGUAUUUAAAGAUUUAUUCCUGAAUUUAAAUAGUAGGUAAAGUCAAAACACACAGCAAAAACAGAAAUAUUCAAACACCUGCUUAUAACUGUAGCAUAUCGCUAAUGUGGAUGCUAACAUAUAUUAGCCUUACCUCGUUGUAGUUUUAGUUAGCUCGCGGGCUCACUAACACAAACAAUUAACUGCCAAAUUAGCGCCAGCUAGAAUAUGAAGCACAAAUGUAGCACACUGACAAUAUACAACAUGUAUUAAUGUGUUUUAAUAGCAGGAGCACCAAGCUACGUUAGCUUUUGCCAUGUAUUUAGAAGCCAAUGACGUCCAGCUGUUUUAACAGUAGCAGAGUUCACUGGCUAGAUGUUGUAGCUAAAGUUAGCUAGUAGUAAAAAAAAAUGGCUGCAGAAGUUUGGACCAUUUUAGGGAAACCUCAACUUCUUUGCAUAGUCACGUGACUCUUGAAUUAAUGAUCUUGAGUCUUGAAUCAUCCCUCCCCAGGUAGUUUAACCACCAUUAACACCAUAAAUCCUUCCUCCCCAGGCAGUUUAACAACAAGCAACACCUUAACUCAUCCCUCCUCAGGUAGUUUUAUAAUACUAACACCUUGAGUAAUCCCUCCUCAGGCAGUUCACCCAGCAUUAGCACCAUACAUCGUCCCUCCCCAGGUAUUUUCACCACAAACAACACCUUGAAUCAUCCCUCCCCAGGCAGUUUUAACAUACAAAUACCUUGAAUUGUCCAUUUUAAGUGCGUUUCACCGCCAUUAGCAUCCUGAGUAAUCCCUCCCAGGCAGUUUAACCACAAGCAAAACCUUGAGUCAUCC
ensembl:lncRNA